rnacentral:piRNA from 1 species
UCAAGUUUCUGGCCUUGCAGAGA